ACGGGGGGACUCCUACGGGAGGCAGCAGUGGGGAAUCUUGGACAAUGGGCGCAAGCCUGAUCCAGCCAUGCCGCGUGAGUGAAGAAGGCCCUAGGGUCGUAAAGCUCUUUCAACGGUGAAGAUAAUGACGGUAGCCGUAGAAGAAACCCCGGCUAACUCCGUGCCAGCAGCCGCGGUAAU
rnacentral:rRNA from 1 species